rnacentral:rRNA from 1 species
GUCUUUGGCCAUGGCACUCUGAAUGUACCCCAUCUCAUCUGAUCUCAGAAGCUAAGCAGGAUCAAGCCUGGCUAGUACUUGGAAGGAAAAAAAAAUCAAAUUUUAAAAGGGGGUGGCUGGAGAGA